rnacentral:rRNA from 1 species
UCGGGAAUUUUGGGCAAUGGGCGAAAGCCUGACCCAGCAACGCCGCGUGAAGGAUGAAGUAUUUCGGUAUGUAAACUUCGAAAGAAUAGGAAGAAUAAAUGACGGUACUAUUUAUAAGGUCCGGCUAACUACGUGCCAGCAGCCGACGGUAAUACGUAGGGACCAAGCGUUGUUCGGAUUUACUGGGCGUAAAGGGCGCGUAGGCGGCAUUUCAAGUCAUCUGUGAAAUCUCCGGGCUUAACUCGGAACGGUCAGAUGAUACUGCUUUGCUAGAGUGCAGAAGGGGCAAUCGGAAUUCUUGGUGUAGCGGUGAAAUGCGUAGAUAUCAAGAGGAACACCUGAGGUGAAGACGGGUUGCUGGGCUGACACUGACGCUGAGGCGCGAAAGCCAGGGGAGCAAACGGGAUUAGAUACCCCCGUAGUCCCUGAGCGGGCUGGCAAGGCGCAU